UCCAACUUUGCUUUUCAGGGGAAGUUUGC
rnacentral:piRNA from 1 species